UGAUAAACCUUUAGCAAUAAACGAAAGUUUAACUGAGCUAUACUAACUUUAGGGUUGGUUAAUUUCAUGCCAGCCACCACGGUCAUACGAUGAACCCAAGCUAAUAGAGACUGGCGUAAAGAAUGUUUUACAUUAUCCCUCAAUAAAGCUAAAUUUCACCUAAGUUGUAGAAAACCCUAGUUGAUAUAAAACAAACUACGAAAGUGGCUUUAAUAUUUCUGAAUACACAAUAGCGAAGAUUCAAACUGGG
rnacentral:rRNA from 1 species